UACGUAGGGAGCAAGCGUUGUCCGGAAUUAUUGGGCGUAAAGCGCGCGCAGGCGGUCCUUUAAGUCUGAUGUGAAAGCCCACGGCUCAACCGUGGAGGGUCAUUGGAAACUGGGGGACUUGAGUACAGAAGAGGAAAGCGGAAUUCCACGUGUAGCGGUGAAAUGCGUAGAGAUGUGGAGGAACACCAGUGGCGAAGGCGGCUUUCUGGUCUGUAACUGACGCUGAGGCGCGAAAGCGUGGGGAGCAAACAGG
rnacentral:rRNA from 1 species